CCUACGGGGGGCAGCAGUGGGGAAUUUUGGACAAUGGACGCAAGUCUGAUCCAGCCAUUCCGCGUGCAGGAUGAAGGCCCUCGGGUUGUAAACUGCUUUUGUACGGAACGAAAAGGCUCUUCCUAAUACGAGGGGCUCAUGACGGUACCGUAAGAAUAAGCACCGGCUAACUACGUGCCAGCAGCCGCGGUAAUACGUAGGGUGCAAGCGUUAAUCGGAAUUACUGGGCGUAAAGCGUGCGCAGGCGGUGAUGUAAGACAGAGGUGAAAUCCCCGGGCUCAACCUGGGAACUGCCUUUGUGACUGCAUCGCUGGAGUACGGCAGAGGGGGAUGGAAUUCCGCGUGUAGCAGUGAAAUGCGUAGAUAUGCGGAGGAACACCGAUGGCGAAGGCAAUCCCCUGGGCCUGUACUGACGCUCAUGCACGAAAGCGUGGGGAGCAAACAGGAUUAGAUACCCUUGUAGUC
rnacentral:rRNA from 1 species